GUACGGAAUGGAAUGGUAUCAAAGUUAAUGUGAGGUUGGUAACUAAGACAGAUACUUUUCUCCGGCGGCGUUGUUCGUUGUAUUAUUUACUACAUGCCUUUGGCAUAGAAAAUACCACACGAGGAUUUAUUCUUCUCCUACAGGGAAAAGAACGCGUUGGUUAUUUACAAACAGAUAAUUUACCCAUCCGCAUCAUGCCAAGAGCUAAUAACCUGCAAAAACUUCGUAUCAUCCCCUAUUGGAGAUAAUCAGCGAUGAAAGCAACAAUCGGACAAGCUAUUCGGUAGUGGUACCAAUAAUGCUAGUGGUUGGGUUAUGGCCCGGAAAAGGGGAUCAAUAUCACAGCCCGCUAAACGUAUAGACACGUGUCAGAUGGAGAAUUAUGCACACCAGAGAGACUGUUGGGCAUAGGCAUCCUAUUCCAAAUGAUUUCGUACAGAGUUAUGAAAUACGACGUAUUCGUUGUGAUGUCAU
rnacentral:sRNA from 1 species